rnacentral:rRNA from 1 species
AUUGAACGCUGGCGGCAGGCCUAACACAUGCAAGUCGAGCGGUAGAGAGAAGCUUGCUUCUCUUGAGAGCGGCGGACGGGUGAGUAAUGCCUAGGAAUCUGCCUGGUAGUGGGGGAUAACGUUCGGAAACGAACGCUAAUACCGCAUACGUCCUACGGGAGAAAGCAGGGGACCUUCGGGCCUUGCGCUAUCAGAUGAGCCUAGGUCGGAUUAGCUAGUUGGUGAGGUAAUGGCUCACCAAGGCGACGAUCCGUAACUGGUCUGAGAGGAUGAUCAGUCACACUGGAACUGAGACACGGUCCAGACUCCUACGGGAGGCAGCAGUGGGGAAUAUUGGACAAUGGGCGAAAGCCUGAUCCAGCCAUGCCGCGUGUGUGAAGAAGGUCUUCGGAUUGUAAAGCACUUUAAGUUGGGAGGAAGAGCAUUAACCUAAUACGUUAGUGUUUUGACGUUACCGACAGAAUAAGCACCGGCUAACUCUGUG